rnacentral:rRNA from 1 species
AUACGGAGGGUGCAAGCGUUACUCGGAAUCACUGGGCGUAAAGCGCGCGCAGGCGGCUAUUUAGGUUGGAUGUGAAAGCCUACGGCUCAACCGUAGAACUGCAUCCAAAACUAUUUAGCUAGAGUGUGGGAGAGGAAGAUGGAAUUAGUUGUGUAGGGGUAAAAUCCGUAGAGAUAACUAGGAAUACCAAAAGCGAAGGCAAUCUUCUGGAACACUACUGACGCUGAGGCGCGAAAGCGUGGGGAGCAAACAGGAUUAGAAACCCCUGUAGUCC